rnacentral:rRNA from 1 species
AUUGAACGCUGGCGGCAGGCCUAACACAUGCAAGUCGAGCGGAUGAACGGAGCUUGCUCCUGGAUUCAGCGGCGGACGGGUGAGUAAUGCCUAGGAAUCUGCCUGGUAGUGGGGGAUAACGUCCGGAAACGGGCGCUAAUACCGCAUACGUCCUGAGGGAGAAAGUGGGGGAUCUUCGGACCUCACGCUAUCAGAUGAGCCUAGGUCGGAUUAGCUAGUUGGUGGGGUAAAGGCCUACCAAGGCGACGAUCCGUAACUGGUCUGAGAGGAUGAUCAGUCACACUGGAACUGAGACACGGUCCAGGCUCCUACGGGAGGCAGCAGUGGGGAAUAUGGGACAAUGGGCGAAAGCCUGAUCCAGCCAUGCCGCGUGUGUGAAGAAGGUCUUCGGAUUGUAAAGCACUUUAAGUUGGGAGAAAGGGCAGUAAGUUAAUACCUUGCUGUUUUGACGUUACCAACAGAAUAAGCACCGGCUAACUUCGUG